GACACGGUGGAAGGAUUUACAGACACCGAAAUCAGAAGAUUUAUCAAGGCUUACAAGAAGUUUGGUGUUCCUUUGGAGCGACUGGAAUGCAUCGCUCGGGAUGCCGAACUAGUAGACAAAUC